CCUACGGGAGGCAGCAGUGAGGAAUAUUGGUCAAUGGACGAGAGUCUGAACCAGCCAAGUAGCGUGAAGGAUGACUGCCCUAUGGGUUGUAAACUUCUUUUAUAUGGGAAUAAAAUGUUCCACGUGUGGGAUUUUGUAUGUACCAUAUGAAUAAGGAUCGGCUAACUCCGUGCCAGCAGCCGCGGUAAUACGGAGGAUCCGAGCUUUAUCCGGAUUUAUUGGGUUUAAAGGGAGCGUAGGUGGAUUGUUAAGUCAGUUGUGAAAGUUUGCGGCUCAACCGUAAAAUUGCAGUUGAAACUGGCAGUCUUGAGUACAGUAGAGGUGGGCGGAAUUCGUGGUGUAGCGGUGAAAUGCUUAGAUAUCACGAAGAACUCCGAUUGCGAAGGCAGUUCACUGGACUGCAACUGACACUGAGGCUCGAAAGUGUGGGUAUCAAACAGGAUUAGAUACCCCUGUAGUC
rnacentral:rRNA from 1 species